CUGGAGGAACCUACUAUUCCUAAGCUCGAUAAGGUUUAUGAGAACAGGGUAGUGCUCCAGACUUUCCCUGUUCCCGUAAAGAUGGUGAAUAUUAAGAAUCAAUGGGAGAGACUUUGAUAGUCUUUUUUUUCCCUUCGGUUAAAUAAUUGUUCCAGAUUCACAGCUAGAAUUGUGGGGAUCUGUCCCUAAGGUAGACGGAGCUAUCUCCACGCUCGCUAAGCACACCACUAUCCCGCUUGAGGAUAGUUCGUCUUUUAAGGAACCCAUGGAUAAGAAAUUAGAGACCCUGUUAAGAAAGAUGUUUCAACAUACAGGGUUCGUUUUUCAGCCGCGGUCGCUGCAGUGGCGGGAGCUGCUACCUAUUGGUGUGACUCUGUCAGAAAUGGUCGAGGUAGAGACUCCCCUCGAGGAGAUACAGGAAAGAAUUAGGGCCCUGAGGGUUGCUAAUUCGUUUCUGUGAUGCUAAUAUGCAGAUUAUUCGCUUGAAUGCCAAUGUUCUGGCCCGGAGGGCUCUGUGGUUGAAGUCGUGGUCUGCUGAAAUGUUGUCCAAAUCUAGAUUGCUUUCUUUUCCGUUAAAGGAAAAGAUUCUCUUUGGUUCAGGUCUGGACUCUAUCACAUCCACGGUUACGGGGGACAAGGGUGCCUUUCUACCACAGGAUAAGAAGAAUAAACCUAAGGGUCUUAAUUUUCGUCCCUUUCGUUCGGACAAGUACCAAUGACGGCAACCUGCUGCGAAAACCGAGCAUUCCAAGGGAUCUUGGAAUAAAACCAAGCAGAGCAAGAAGCCUGCCGAGACAAAAACGGCAUGAAGGGGCAGCCCCUGAUCCGUCUCUGGAUUUCAUGGGGGCAGACUAUAUCUUUUCGCGGAGGCUUGGAUGAGAGACGUACAGGAUCCUUGGGUUCUGGAGGUUGUUGCCCAGGGUUACAGGAUAGGUUUCAAAACUCAUCCUCCCAGGGGCAGAUUCCUCUUGUCAAAUCUAUCGUCAAAACCAGAGAAACGAGAUGCCUUUCUAGAGUGUGUAAGGGAUCUCUCCUCUUUAGGAGUAAUUGUGCCGGUACCUCUAGCAGAAAGGGCUCUAGGGUAUUAUUCAAACCUGUUUGUGGUUCCAAAGAAGGAUGGAUGGUUUGGAGAGCUGUGGCUUCUUCUUUAGCCUUUAAGAAUGAGGCAUCUAUGGAGCAGAUUUGUAGGGCGACUACCUGGUCCUCCUCACACACUUUUACAAAAUUUUACAGAUUUUACGUUUUUGCUUCAGCUGAAGCUGUUUUUGGGAGAAAGGUUUUGAAGGCUGUGGUGCCCUCAGUAUAGGGUCCGCCUUGCUUUUUACCCUCCCGUUUUUUCAUUGUGUCCUCUAGAGCUUUGGGUAUUUGUUUCCCACAAGUAAUGAAUGAAACCAUGGACUCUCCUCAUGCUUACCUUAUAAUUUAAUUUCCAUCGUUACGAGGAGAGUCCACGGCUCCCGCCCGGUUGUCCGUUGGGCGGACCUUAAUUUCUUUUGUUUUUUCUUCUGGAACCAUUUAUACCCUGAUAUUUUUCCUACUGUUCCUUGUUCCCUCUGCAGAAUGACUGGGGGAUGAGGGGGGCCGUGGGGGAGGUAUUUAAGCCUUUGGCUGGGGUGUCUUUGUCUCCUCCUGGUGGAAGUAAUGAAUGAAGCCUUGGACUCUCCUCGUAACGAUGGAAAUUAAAUUAUCAGGUAAGCAUAAUUUGUUUUAUCAUUUGUUGUAUUAAUUUGUCUGUCUCUUGUAGUUGCUUUUCGCAUAUAUGACAUGGACAAGGAUGGCUAUAUCUCCAAUGGUGAGCUUUUCCAGGUGCUGAAGAUGAUGGUUGGAAACAAUCUGAAGGACACCCAGUUACAGCAAAUAGUAGACAAAACGAUUAUUAAUGCAGAUAAAGAUGGCGAUGGAAGAAUAUCCUUUGAAGAAUUCUGUGCUGUCGUAGGAGGUUUAGAUAUCCACAAAAAGAUGGUCGUAGAUGUGUGACUUCACAACUGCACCCAACACUUUUGCUUUCUUCUCCAUCUCUGAAGAUCUGCUCAAGACGUCCAGCAAUGCUCUGUGUAUUUUAAAUGGAAGUAUUUUUCUCUGUGAAGCCACAUUUUCCAUCAUGAGCCUCAUGAAGCCAACUUAGUGUUAUUGAACUUUUGAUUCUCUCAAUAACUCAGUGUAGCACUUUAAAGUCUGAAGGACAGCAAGGUGGGAAGAGCAUAAUGUGGUGGUGAUAAGGGAGUUGGCUUUUUAUUUAUUUUUUUCUCCAUCUUUUAUAACAAGGAAUAUAUAUAGCUUUUUAAGUAGUGAUUAGGUGAAAGUUAAUUUAAUAUACUUGAGUCAAAUACAAAACUAGAUUACAAAAGUGCCAAGCAGAACAUAACCCGUUCAUUACAUGAAUAUAAAUCCUUACUUUUAUUUCACACCGUUUUAUAUAUAUAUAUUGUAGAAGAAUGUAUACUUUACACUGUGUUUGGUCAUGGAUUUUCUUUUCUUUUUUUGUGAUUUUUUUUUUUCUUCUUCAAAUGUUUAUAUGUUAACUGGUUUGAUCAACACUUGUUUCCUGUCUACGUUACAUUUUUUUUUUCUAACACCGGAAAAUUGUUUGUUUUAUUUAUACAUUUUAAUAUGUUACCAGGGACUAUAUCUCUUGCUUUCUAAAAUGUAGCUGAAUGUUACUGCCAAGAGAAGAACCCUUUGUGCCCAUUGCAACUGUACAGAGCUUGAGGGCCACUUCAUACAGCUUUUCAUAGUUUCUGAGGGGAGCCACUGCAUCUUUCAUUGAUAUCAUGAAUGCAGCUGCUGCAUUGGAUAAAUUCUAAGAGGAACUGUCUUUUUUAAUGACCAACUUAAUUUACAUAACUGUCGGUGCUAAAUGUCAUACUGGCACCUAUGAUGAUUUUUUUUAUAUAUGUGGGGGGGAAAAAACAAAUAUGUUACCUUUAAAGUCUUUGUAUAAGAAAUGAAUGCCCCACCAAACUGAAGGAUACAAGCUACUGCAGCCAGCAUGACUGGUAAUAUUUAAAUACAUGUAUAUUGGGUAUAGAUGAAAAUAAGCUGUUUUUUCCUUCUCAGUCUUUUUACCUGGAAAGAUCACCCAUUUUCUGUGUUUGUGUCGAUAUUACAUUUGUGUGAUAUAAAAGUAGAGACCCUUUUUCUGCUCUGGUACUAUUGGCUGGAAGAUUAAAAAAAAGUUAUGACUGUACAUUUUUGGAAGCAUUUUUAAAACCUCUUAAAACUGUCCGGUUUAAUUUCCCCUGUAUUCAAGCACCAAUCUGCCAUAGUUGUUCCUUCAACUGAGUGCUUCACAUCAUGGGCUCUGUCUGUGCGAGAGAAAUUCAGGUGCUUGAUGUCUUUGCAUGACAUGGAGUUUGCAUGUAGAUCGAUUUGAAAUGUUCCUCUUGUUUACAUAAUUUGCAUCAUAUUAAAAAAGAAAAUUGCCAAACGUUGGUAUAUGUUAAUGUUCAAAUAAUAAAAAUAAAUCUCCACUACAUGUAACUUUCUUCCUCUGGAUCAGUACAUGGUUCAUUAUCCCAGCCAGUGGUUCUGUUCCGUUGUCAGCCAUGUGUUCUGCUUCAAGGGGAAACUAGUCUCUUGUGAUUUUUUUUUUUUCUCCUUUAUUUUUGUACAGAAGUUGUGUUACAAACAUUUUAGCAUAUGCUUUCUUUCUCUUGCUUGUGCAUAUCUUGGCUGGCGUAUAUAAAAAAAAAAAGACUAACCUUUUUCCUUUGUUGGAGAAUUAUUGUUUUUUUUUAGUUUGUGUGGGGAAAAUGGUUUAUGUUGAAUGUUUAAUUUUUUCCUCUGCAUGCUAUAUAACUUGUAGGAACAUUAGAAUUCUUCAUACUGUAUGAAUAAAACAUUGAAACUUGUUA